GAUGAACGCUGGCGGCGUGCCUAAUACAUGCAAGUCGAGCGCCCGUUCGAGGAGCUUGCUUCUCUGUUGUUAGCGCCUGACGAUUUGGUCUCACCUGGAUAACCUACCUAUAAGACUGGGAUUACUUCGGUAAACCCUAUCUAAUGCCGGAUAUUAUUUUGAACCGCUUGGUUCACAAUUGAAUGACGGUCUUGUUGGCACUUAUCGAUGCAUCCGCGCUGCAUUAGCUAGUUGGUAAGGUAACGGCUUACCAAGGCAACGAUGCAUACCCGACCUGAGAGGGUGGUCGGACACACGGGAACUGAGACAGGGUACAGACACCUAGGGGGAGCAGCAGUAGGGAAUCUUCCGGGAGGGGGGAAAGCGUGACGGAGCAACGCCGCGGGAAUGAUGAAGGUGUUAGGAUCGGAAAACUCUGUAAUUAGGGAAGAAGAAAAGUGUAAGUAGCUGUGAACAUAUUGACGGUACCAAAAGAAAAAGCCACGGCUAACUACGUG
rnacentral:rRNA from 1 species